rnacentral:rRNA from 1 species
GCAAAACGCGAAGAACCUUACCUAGGCUUGAACUCCUACGAACCUCUUGUAAUGGAGAGGGUGUCCGCAAGGAAAUGUAGUGAGAGGUGCCGCAUGGCUGUCGUCAGCUCGUGUUGUGAAAUGUUGGGUUAAGUCUCGCAACGAGCGCAACCCCUAUCGUCUGUUGCCAGCAUUAAGUUGGGCACUCUGACGAGACUGCCUCGGGUUAACCAGGAGGAAGGUGGGGAUGACGUCAAGUCCUCAUCGGCCCUUAUGUCGUAGGGCUACACACGUAAUACAAUGGCGCGUACGAAAGGGAAGACGAACUCGCAAGGGGGAGCAAAUCUCAAAAAGCGCGCCUCAGUUCGGGUUGGAGUCUGCAACUCGACUCCAUGAAGUUGGAAUCGCUAGUAAUCGGAGAUCAGCACGCUCCGGUGAAUACGUUCCCGGGUCUUGUACACACCG